rnacentral:lncRNA from 1 species
GACGCUCAUCUUUUGUCCCAUCUUUCUCUAGGUCAGCGUUCCUUUUUUAAGAUCGUGGAAAUUGUCAAGAGUUUUCGUCUCCAGAAUCUUCCAUCAAGAGGUUCCAUAAAAAGAUGAAUGAUCUCUCAUUUCAGGUGGCCUUGGGGACCAUAGACUCACAGGAGAUGUUACUCAAGGGACUUCCUUGAGAACUUCAUAAACAAGGACCUGGAGUCACCAGAUAAUGAAUUAAUAGGAUUUUGGAUGAACAACCCCAGCCCCAGGCUCACUUGGCAAAAUAAAGUGGAAAUUUCAGAUGUUUUUUUCCAUAAAUUUAUAAGGGAUGUCAUAAUAACCAAGGCCAGAAGCACAAUCUGUGGUGAGAACAGAAGAACAUAGGACAUAAAGGAAAAAAAACUCCAAAGCAAAUCAUACACCCUUCACUGUCGUCUUCAGAAUAUGGAUGAAAGGGUGGGUUCCCAGAGUCUCCUGUAAAAUGAGAAUUUGAAAUGUGAACCCAAGGCUAAUGGAUUCAUUUAAUUUUUUUAAUAAGGGGAAGCAGAUAGCUCCCUUGAGGGGGCAGUUUUUUGGUUUU